GAAUUUGAAAUGCACUGACCUGGGCCUUCUGUCAAUCAGCUCCCUGCCAUGGAGACCUGACAGAGUCUCAUUCAUGACUGCCACAACAGAGACACUGAGAAAAAGAUGCAACCAUGAAAAGGUGGCAAGUUCUAACGACAUAGAAAAUAGCAAUCAGCCUUUCUUAUAUCUGAAAGCCUUCCAAAAUAUCUGAGUGCAGUAGAGAAUUGACAGAGGACUGAUCACCAUCCUAGAAACAUGGUGAGAGGGAAAAAAAAACUGCAAGAAUAUAAUCAUCUCCCAUCAAUUGUCCAAGAGAAAUAACGUAGUCCUUGAAGAAACAAUUAUAGAGUACCUCAUGCUACAUGCCUGUUCCUGACGCUCCCCCAUGUAAAAUAACAUCAUCUUCAUUCCUUCUUUUCUUUUCUUUCCAUGACAGCUCCUCCAGGAAUAGGACGUCUUCCUCUCCUUAAUCCAAUAUAGCAGCCGUGAUGUCAUUUCUGUAUUUCAGGAAGACUGGCAGACAGUUGCUUUGAUUCUUCCUCAAACUACUUACAAUCAGCUACAGUCCAAAAUUGCUUUUUCUUCAAGGAGAUUUAUGGAAA
rnacentral:sRNA from 1 species